rnacentral:rRNA from 1 species
AAUCAACGCUGGCGGUGUGCCUAACACAUGCAAGUCGAACGCGGUUACCCCGCAAGGGGUAACUGAGUGGCGAACGGGUGAGUAACGCGUGGGUGACCUACCUUCGAGUGGGGGAUAACGUCCCGAAAGGGACGCUAAUACCGCAUAACAUCCUGCCUUUGAACAGGCGGUGAUCAAAGCCGGGGAUCGCAAGACCUGGCGCUUGAUGAGGGGCCCGCGUCUGAUUAGCUAGUUGGUGAGGAAUGGCCCACCAAGGCAACGAUCAGUAUCCGGCCUGAGAGGGCGGACGGACACACUGGGACUGAGACACGGCCCAGACUCCUACGGGAGGCAGCAGUGGGGAAUUUUGGACAAAUGGGGGGCGAACCCUGAUCCAGCCAUGCCGCGUGUGUGAUGAAGGCCUCGG